CUUGUUGGGUGGAGAUUGAGUGCAUGAACCAUACCCAUAGCAUCUCUAAAACGUCUUAUGUCUCAACAUCAUCCGUUCCACCAACAGAUUGUCCAGGGAAACUUGACUGCAAAGGUGUUUGUGAUGGUAGCGCGGUCUUAGACUGCAAUGGUACGUGAUGC